rnacentral:lncRNA from 1 species
CAACAUGUUCCAGGUUUUCUUGCAUGCGUUUGUAGCACUGUAAUAUUAUUUAAUGUACCCAAGCAAGCAAGCAAGCAAAAAGCAACCAGUCAUAAUAAGCUCUUUUACAUUCUCAAGAUCUCUCCAUUAUGACUUUUGCAUUUUCCCCAUUAUACACUCUAGGCAUUGAAGAAACAAUCACGUUGUAAAGAACAAGCUGCAGUGCAAUAUUAUUUUCCUCCCACUAUGACAAUACCCCCAUUGCUGGAAGCAUCUUCGUUUUCUCUUCCUAGCUCAUCAGCUGUACCUGCCUGUCCCUUGGCUGCUCUUGGAGGCUUUUGCAGAACUGUGGCAGGUGCAGCACCGAGGGGCAAGGGAUGUGGCAAAGCCCCAUCUGUGUGCUGCAGCACCUGCCUGUGUAAGAAAAGGCUCCUGCACCAGACUCUCUGCGGUUGGGCUGUGAUUCUCUCAUCACUGCAGAGGACGAGAAGGGUGAAGUGA